rnacentral:tRNA from 1 species
GCCUGGGUGGCUCAGUCGGUUGAGCAUCUGACUUUGGCUCAGGUCAUAAUCUCACAGUCCGUGAGUUCGAGCCCUGCAUCAGGCU